CAACUGUUAAGUCCCAGCCUGAACCACUGAUUCAGCACCUGGGGAAAGGACCCGGUCAGCCCUGGGAGCACAGGUGAAGGCAAUUCGGCUGUGUGACCAGAAGGGGUGGAGCCUGGCUGCACCUCUCUUAGACCUCAUUUAAGUGCUGACUGCCCCUGGGGAAGGGUCUCUUUCUGGAGAUCCCUCCUUGGUGGAUUUUUCCCCUCUGAACCUGGAAUCUUCUGGUAUGGUGCACAAUGACCUUCAGUGCCAGCUCAGCUGCUGAACUGGAAAAGCCACUCGUAAAGAGCUCAGCACAAAUGUGACAGGGGCUUGAAUGUCCCUGAUGCUGUGAUGGGGGGUGGGACCCCAGUCAGCCCUGUCCUGGCAGUGUGACCCCUGGAGGAGGUAGAGAGGUUGUGGUGCAGCAUGGGAGAGCAAUGUGCACCUGCUGGAGGAGGAGAAGAAAAUGGGGAGCCCCAAACUGCUGGAGUGUUAAUGAACUCUGGUGCUUCUGGUGUCUCCUGUGUUUGUUUUUCCUUGCUGAGCCCAACCGUAAAUAUAAAGCAAAUAUAAAUGCUUAUGUACCAGUAAUGUCUUGUUUUCCCUCUCUCUUCCCAAAGUCACCCUGCUGUACUGUGAACCCCCAACAUAUUGUUAAUUAGGAAUGAAUCAGUGUGCCUCUGAUUAAAAUCCUUCCUACUUCAUGGCUUUUAACUAACUACAGUGUCUCUGGGUUUGUGCCAGCUUUGGUUUUAAACCUUUGAAGAAUCUCUAAUCCGCACAGCACAGACCAGCCAAUUAUUUUUUGUUAUAAACAGUAAAUAUCUAUCGAACAUAGAUAUUUUUGUUGCAGAUAAGGAUGCUCCUUGAGGAGCUCAGUAUCCUUCUCCAUAAUUUGCUGGGGUAGAAAAUACCUGAGAUGUACUUUAAUCAACUUUGUACUGUGUGGG
ensembl:lncRNA